GAUGGGUGUGGUGGAUCCUUUCCCGUCCUACCUAUCCCAUAAUUCUUUUCGGCAGAGCGUAAUGGCGGACGAAGCGAGCGGUAGCGGAGUGGGAGAGGAGUAUGCUUUUCGAUGGACGAAAGAGCAGACAGAAGUGUUUAUAAAGCUCCGGGGAGAGAACGAUGAGCUCUUCACCGGAGCAAAGAACUCUGCCACUGUGGGAUGGAGGAUAGUUUUGGAGAAGAUGGGCCUGUCUGGUAAAGUGACAC